rnacentral:tmRNA from 1 species
CGGAUUGCAGACGCUUGUCGUCUCGCCUAUAUAGGACGGGCCGGCUUCCAGCCGGCUAUGGCGAUAAACGGUGGCGUUGCAUAGACGCAGCGGACCCGGGGGCAGUACCCGGCGGCUCCACCACCGCAGCUGAGCGAUCAGAUGCGAUGACGGGGCCGAACUAGGAUCGACGUGUGUUGAAAUGCGCUGUCUUUCGCUCGGAAUGGGACCACCGCAACGGCCCAUUACACAAGUGCCAACGAUAACGAAGCACUCGCGAUUGCGGCGUAACUGAGAGCCUAACGGCUUAAGGUUAUUCCAAGAUUACGCGGUUGGGCCCACCGGGCAACAGAAGGGAUUCCAGCGGUACGGGGAGCACCGGGCAACAGAAGCUCCCCACC